AGCAUGGACAGCCUGGAUCUGCUGGGUGAAGGGAGAAGUUAUGUCCAGGGUGGGACAGAGAGGAUGGCGAGAGAUUUCCUCACUGCUCAGAACAGUGGGAAAUUCAAAACUUAGGGAUUAUUUCUGAAAUUUUCCAUUUAAAAAUUUCCAUUUAUAAUUGACCAAGGGUAACUGAAACCAGAGAAAGCAAGACUGAGGAUAAGGGAGGGGCCUCCUGUACUCCAAGAGCACUGAAUCCGGAAAAACUCAACACAUUGAUGGAGUCAUAUAUUUAAUUUUUUCUUAAAAGCCACCUGCGGGAUAUUGUAGAAACACUGCGCUGCCAAUCACAGCUUGUGAUGUGACACAUUCAUUCUGCAAGUUUAAACUUCCCCUAGCAAAUCUUUAUGAGCACCUACUAUGCAUCAGGCUGUUGUCGUGAAUAAAACAAGAUCCAUAUCCCGAGGGAGUGUGCCUUCCAGGAGAGAAAGACGGCAAUGUAUUGGUUCUUGGGGAAAAGCUGUGUUUCAGAGACAAGAUUGAAGAACUUCACCUGCAUAUGAUGGAGGAUGAGAAUGGGAACCACAGGUGUCAUUGGUGGUUUUGUUUUACAAAGUCUUCACAUUUCUGCUGAGUCACGGGACUAAGUUCAACACAAUUUCUACUUUCCGCCUUCCUUUGGAAUAAUAGUUUUGGAAGCCAAGUAUUAGUAUAUGAUAUCAGGUGUGUUCUCUAAAGAUUCAGGUUCAGUGGGCUGAAUGCACUUUUGUGACUUCUUUAGACCACUGAGCCCAAGGAGAAAAGUGCCAAUCUUACUAGACAUGAGGAAAAAGACACAUCUUUUGCUCUUGCUGGAAGUGACUUUCUACAAGCAGUCAUCAUCUG
rnacentral:sRNA from 1 species